rnacentral:rRNA from 1 species
GAGUUUGAUCGUGGCUCAGAGUGAACGCUGGCGGUAGGCCUAACACAUGCAAGUCGAACGGUAACAGGUCUUUCGGGAUGCUGACGAGUGGCGGACGGGUGAGGAAUACAUCGGAAUCUGCUCAGUCGUGGGGGAUAACGCAUGGAAACGUGCGCUAAUACCGCAUACGACCUUCGGGUGAAAGCAGGGGAAUCUUUAGGGAUCCUUGCGCGAUUGAAUGAGCCGAUGUCGGAUUAGCUAGUUGGUAGGGUAAAAGCCUACCAAGGCGACGAUCCGUAGCUGGUCUGAGAGGAUGAUCAGCCACACUGGGACUGAGACACGGCCCAGACUCCUGCGGGAGGCAGCAGUGGGGAAUAUUGGACAAUGGGGGCAACCCUGAUCCAGCCAUACCGCGUGGGUGAAGAAGGCCUUCUGGGUUGUAAAGCCCUUUUGUUGGGGAAGAAAAACAACGGGUUAAUACCCCGUUGGUAUGACGGUACCCAAAGAAUAAGCACCGGCUAACUUCGUGCCAGCAGCCGCGGUAAUACGAAGGGUGCAAGCGUUACUCGGAAUUACUGGGCGUAAAGGGUGCGUAGGUGGUUGCGCCAGUCUGUCGUGAAAGCCCUGGGCUUAACCUGGGAAUGGCGAUGGAAACUGUGCAGCUAGAGUGUGACAGAGGGUGGUGGAAUUCCUGGUGUAGCAGUGAAAUGCGUAGAGAUCAGGAGGAACAUUCGUGGCGAAGGCGGCCACCUGGGUCAACACUGACACUGAGGCACGAAAGCGUGGGGAGCAAACAGGAUUAGAUACCCUGGUAGUCCACGCCCUAAACGAUGCGAACUGGAUGUUGGGUCCAACUUGGGAUUCAGUAUCGAAGCUAACGCGUUAAGUUCGCCGCCUGGGGAGUACGGUCGCAAGACUGAAACUCAAAGGAAUUGACGGGGGCCCGCACAAGCGGUGGAGUAUGUGGUUUAAUUCGAUGCAACGCGCAGAACCUUACCUGGCCUUGACAUGCACGGGAGUCUUUAGAGAUAGAG